GCGGUCCUUCACUCUCCAGCCUGCUCUGAUGCUCCAGACUGAUCCAUGUUCGCGAUUGGUCAGAUGCGGCGGGCUCCGCCUUAUAUGUGUGCACGCGCUCAUAGCAGAGCUGGAUCCACUUAUGAGGUUGAUAACCAGCGUCGUAAAACCGCUUAGCGAGACCGCUGGCUACCGCGCUAAGUUGAGCGAGGUAGAUCCAAACCUACCCCGCUAGGUUGAACCUGCUUCGUAAAACAGGCCCCUGGUCUGGCUUGAAUAUGUUUCAGAGCACCCUCCCCCUCCCCGGCCGCUAAGGCUGAGUGAGACUCCACACCUGCACUGCAUCUACAAUCAAGGCCUUUAAGAAGCCAGCAGCCCUCAGUCUCAGCGCCUGAGAAAUGUCUUCACCCCUGAGUGGUACAGAUGUGUCUCCUGGCCUCCUUUUUGGAUAAGUGUUAGUAAUUUUGCUCCCCGUGAUUCAUUGUAUGCCCACUCACUUCCUUCUCCUCUGUUUUUUCCGCAGUGUCUCCAGCCCACACAACAGCCAGCCAGCAAACCGGACUUUCUCUUGUACCUUUACCCCCCUGAGUUG
rnacentral:lncRNA from 1 species